GACGAACGCUGGCGGCGUGCUUAACACAUGCAAGUCGAACGGAAAGGCCCUGCUUUUGUGGGGUGCUCGAGUGGCGAACGGGUGAGUAACACGUGAGUAACCUGCCCUUGACUUUGGGAUAACUUCAGGAAACUGGGGCUAAUACCGGAUAGGAGCUCCUGCUGCACGGUGGGGGUUGGAAAGUUUCGGCGGUUGGGGAUGGACUCGCGGCUUAUCAGCUUGUUGGUGGGGUAGUGGCUUACCAAGGCUUUGACGGGUAGCCGGCCUGAGAGGGUGACCGGCCACAAUGGGACUGCGAUACGGCCCAGACUCCUACGGGAGGCAGCAGUGGGGAAUAUUGCACAAUGGGCGGAAGCCUGAUGCAGCAACGCCGCGUGCGUGAUGACGGCCUUCGGGUUGUAAACCGCUUUCGCCUGUGACGAAGCGUGAGUGACGGUAAUGGGUAAAGAAGCACCGGCUAACUACGUG
rnacentral:rRNA from 1 species